rnacentral:rRNA from 1 species
GCAAGUUGAGCGGUAAGGCCCCUUCGGGGGUACACGAGCAGCGAACGGGUGAGUAUCGCGUGGGUAAUCUACCUAGAGGUGGGGGAUAGCCUCGGGAAACCGAGGGUAAUACAGCAUGAGACCUCAACGGCAUAAGUCGAUGGAGGGAAAGGCGGGGCUCCUUUGGGACCUGUCGUCUCUAGAUGAGCCCGCGUCCGAUUAGCUAGUUGGUGGGGUAAUGGCCUACCAAGGCAACGAUCGGUAGCCGGCCUGAGAGGGUGAAC